AGAGCUCAGUCUGUAGAGCGUUGUCCUGCUGAGCCAAAGGUUGCGGGUUCAAG
rnacentral:tRNA from 12 species